UGAUCUCCACGUAGAGCGCGUGGAGGGUAAACGAAAGAAUGCUCGCAGGGA
rnacentral:ncRNA from 1 species